AAUCCAUUGUGUGGACAGUCCCGAACCAACCUUUUAAACCUCGCCCAGGCCUCACUGAGAGAUUCGUCCAUGUUUUGUUCAAAAUUCGUGAUUAGUUUCCUUCGUCU